rnacentral:rRNA from 1 species
UGACGACCAUAGAGCAUUGGAACCACCUGAUCCCAUCCCGAACUCAGCAGUGAAACGAUGCAUCGCCGAUGGUAGUGU